AACGGACGCUGGCGGCAGGCUUAACACAUGCAAGUCGAACGGGCGUAGCAAUACGUCAGUGGCGGACGGGUGAGUAACACGUGGGAAUGUGCCUUUCGGUUCGGAACAACUCGGGGAAACUCGUGCUAAUUCCGGAUACGCCCUUACGGGGAAAGAUUUAUCGCCGAAAGAUCAGCCCGCGUCCGAUUAGCUAGUUGGUGAGGUAAAGGCUCACCAAGGCACCGAUCGGUAGCUGGUUUGAGAGAACGACCAGCCACACUGGGACUGAGACACGGCCCAGACUCCUACGGGAGGCAGCAGUGGGGAAUCUUGGACAAUGGGCGCAAGCCUGAUCCAGCCAUGCCGCGU
rnacentral:rRNA from 1 species